rnacentral:rRNA from 1 species
GUUUGAUCCUGGCUCGAAUGAACGCUGGCGGCAGGCCUAACACAUGCAAGUCGAACGGAGUUAUAUUGUAGCUUGCUAUGGUAUAACUUAGUGGCAGACGGGUGAGUAAUGUAUAGGAAUCUACCUAGUAGUACGGAAUAAUUGUUGGAAACGGCAACUAAUACCGUAUACGCCCUACGGGGGAAAAAUUUAUUGCUAUUAGAUGAGCCUAUAUUAGAUUAGCUAGUUGGUGGAGUAAUAGCCUACCAAGGCAAUGAUCUAUAGCUGAUCUGAGAGGAUGAUCAGCCACACUGGAACUGAGAUACGGUCCAGACUCCUACGGGAGGCAGCAGUGGGGAAUAUUGGACAAUGGGCGAAAGCCUGAUCCAGCCAUGCCGCAUGAGUGAAGAAGGCCUUUGGGUUGUAAAGCUCUUUUAGUGAGGAAGAUAAUGACGGUACUCACAGAAGAAGUCCUGGCUAACUCCGUGCCAGCAGCCGCGGUAAUACGGAGAGGGCUAGCGUUAUUCGGAAUUAUUGGGCGUAAAGGGCGCGUAGGCGGAUUAGUAAGUUAAAAGUGAAAUCCCAAGGCUCAACCUUGGAAUUGCUUUUAAAACUGCUAAUCUAGAGAUUGAAAGAGGAUAGAGGAAUUCCUAGUGUAGAGGUGAAAUUCGUAAAUAUUAGGAGGAACACCAGUGGCGAAGGCGUCUAUCUGGUUCAAAUCUGACGCUGAGGCGCGAAGGCGUGGGGAGCAAACAGGAUUAGAUACCCUGGUAGUCCACGCUGUAAACGAUGAAUGUUAAAUAUGGGAAGUUUUACUUUCUGUAUUACAGCUAACGCGUUAAACAUUCCGCCUGGGGACUACGGUCGCAAGAUAAAACUCAAAGGAAUUGACGGGGACCCCACAAGCGGUGGAGCAUGUGGUUUAAUUCGAUGCAACG